UGGCCGAAAGGGCAAACUGUCGGUGACGGCAGGACGCAAAGCUUCCGGUCUCUUAGGUGGAGAUAGCGGGGUUACCGAA
rnacentral:ncRNA from 1 species